rnacentral:rRNA from 1 species
GAUGAACGCUGGCGGCGUGCUUAACACAUGCAAGUCGAACGGAGCACCCCUGAAAGAGUUUUCGGACAAUGGAUGGGAAUGCUUAGUGGCGGACGGGUGAGUAACGCGUGAGUAACCUGCCUUGGAGAGUGGAAUAACACAGUGAAAAUUGUGCUAAUACCGCAUGAAGCAGUUGGGUCGCAUGGCUCUGACUGCCAAAGAUUUAUCGCUCUGAGAUGGACUCGCGUCUGAUUAGCUAGUUGGCGGGGUAACGCCCACCAAGGCGACGAUCAGUAGCCGGACUGAGAGGUUGGCCGGCCACAUUGGGACUGAGACAGGCCCAGACUCCUACGGGAGGCAGCAGUGGGAAUAUUGGGCAAUGGGCGCAAGCCUGACCCAGCAACG